UACGUAGGGGGCGAGCGUUGUCCGGAUUUAUUGGGCGUAAAGAGCUCGUAGGCGGUUCGAUAAGUCGGACGUGAAAUCUCCACGCUCAACGUGGAGGGGCCGUUCGAUACUGUCGUGACUCGAGUCCGGUAGGGGAGUGUGGAAUUCCCGGUGUAGCGGUGAAAUGCGCAGAGAUGCGGAGGAACACCGAUGGCGAAGGCAGCCUCCUGGGAUAACACUGACGCUCAUGCACGAAAGCGUGGGGAGCAAACAGG
rnacentral:rRNA from 1 species